rnacentral:rRNA from 1 species
UACGUAGGGGGCAAGCGUUGUCCGGAAUCAUUGGGCGUAAAGAGCGUGUAGGCGGUUCGGUAAGUCGGCUGUGAAAGUCCAGGGCUCAACCCUGGGAUGCCGGUCGAUACUGCCGGACUAGAGUUCGGAAGAGGCGAGUGGAAUUCCCGGUGUAGCGGUGAAAUGCGCAGAUAUCGGGAGGAACACCUAUGGCGAAGGCAGCUCGCUGGGACGUUACUGACGCUGAGAACGCGGAAAGCGUGGGGAGCAAACAGG